ACCAGUUAAAAUAAUUUCAUCAAAUGUAAAUGACAGAUAGAAGACUUUUGUUUCAAUUUAUGAAUAAAAACAGCAAAGAUAAAUUAAAUUAAUAGAACAAAAAGCUAGUAAUUAUAAAUAUAAACAAUAUGAGCAAUGACCAUUUUCACAAAGCAGAAUCAUUAGUUCGUUAAAACUCAUCUUAAGAUGUGCCGACUCGGGAGCAAGCAACAUACUAUAAUUGGCCGUGUGAAAAACACGAAUUCUCCAAAUUUAAAUCGGCGAUAGUCAACGACUGACCUUGAGCUUUGUUGCUAGUUUUUGCAAAAGCAAGACGCAAAGGGAAUUGGAGCCGCUUAAACUCGAACGGUAAAUCGUUGGAAAUCAUCGGUAUUCCUGGAAUCAGUACGCCUUUGAAUUUACGGUUGCAGAAUUUAGUUGCGUUUAAAUUGGGAAUGAACAUUAAGGGUGAUCCAAUUUUCAAUUUUAGUGUGUGUGGCGGUAUUCCAGGUGGCCCUAAUGAGUUUAAAAACUUAACUGGAUAAUUAACAGCUUGUUCUUCGUCCAUUACCGUGCCGAUUGACUUAUAGUUGAUUUCUUCGCCGGGAAGUUUCAAUUGAAUUUGAUCAUUGAGUUUGUUAAAGUUUUGGUGCUAAAAUUUUGCGUUCAUAAAGUCAAUUUGAUUUUUGUAAUUAAUUGUUAAAUUUGGAAAUACUUUGUCGAAAAAAGCUUGAAUAUGUUGCAUGUGACAAAAAUCCUGUGAAAAGAAAUCUCGUUUGUGGCAGGAUCAAUUAGAAUUUUGCCCUUCUCUAUGUCUAAAAGUUGUUGCGAAAA